rnacentral:rRNA from 1 species
AUGAAUGGUGAGUACACCUUCGUCGGAUUCGCCAUUGAAGGAGACAAAAGCAAGCUGAAGCUAUCUGGUUUGGAGAUCAACUCCGACAACUACAUUGAUAUUCAGGUGGAAUGGAGAGAUCCAUACAAUAAAAAGAAGUUUGACUCUUUGGCUGAUGUUGCCGGCAGGAUGAUAGACAUUCACUACCAUGACAUGAAGAAAAAAAUUAACCGCAAGGAGGACCAUACUCUGUGGGGAUUUUGCCCGCUGCCAAAAAAGCUUAUCAAGUAUGCAGCAAUAGAUGCAUUCGCAACAUAUGAGUCAUGGAGAAUCAUCUACGAUGUCAUAAUGGGACUGGACAGGGCAAAGAGAGAGAAAGAAGCAAAGAAGAAGAAGAACAAGGCUGUAAUCCAAUACAGCAACUAG